UUCCUCAUUAUUGAAGGUCGUGACCACCU
rnacentral:sRNA from 1 species